rnacentral:rRNA from 1 species
AGAUUGAACGCUGGCGGCAUGCCUUACACAUGCAAGUCGAACGGCAGCACGGGAGCAAUCCUGGUGGCGAGUGGCGAACGGGUGAGUAAUACAUCGGAACGUGCCCAAUCGUGGGGGAUAACGCAGCGAAAGCUGUGCUAAUACCGCAUACGAUCUACGGAUGAAAGCAGGGGACCGCAAGGCCUUGCGCGAGUGGAGCGGCCGAUGGCAGAUUAGGUAGUUGGUGAGGUAAAGGCUCACCAAGCCUUCGAUCUGUAGCUGGUCUGAGAGGACGACAGCCA